rnacentral:rRNA from 1 species
AUUAGCUAGUUGGUGAGGUAAUGGCUCACCAAGGCGACGAUCCCUAGCUGGUCUGAGAGGAUGAUCAGCCACACUGGAACUGAGACACGGUCCAGACUCCUACGGGAGGCAGCAGUGGGGAAUAUUGCACAAUGGGCGCAAGCCUGAUGCAGCCAUGCCGCGUGUAUGAAGAAGGCCUUCGGGUUGUAAAGUACUUUCAGCAGUGAGGAAGGUUCAUGCGUUAAUAGCUGUAUGAUUUGACGUUAGCUGCAGAAGAAGCACCGGCUAACUCCGUGCCAGCAGCCGCGGUAAUACGGAGGGUGCGAGCGUUAAUCGGAAUUACUGGGCGUAAAGCGCAUGCAGGUGGUUUGUUAAGUCAGAUGUGAAAGCCCGGGGCUCAACCUCGGAACUGCAUUUGAAACUGGCAAACUAGAGUACUGUAGAGGGGGGUAGAAUUUCAGGUGUAGCGGUGAAAUGCGUAGAGAUCUGAAGGAAUACCAGUGGCGAAGGCGGCCCCCUGGACAGAUACUGACACUCAGAUGCGAAAGCGUGGGGAGCAAACAGGAUUAGAUACCC